rnacentral:rRNA from 1 species
CAUGUAGGCGGUUUGAUAAAUUAGAAGUGAAAUGCCUGGGCUUAACCCGGGAAUUGCUUUUAAGACUGUCAGACUUGAAUCCGUGAGAGGACAGUGGAAUUCCCAGUGUAGAGGUGAAAUUCGUAGAUAUUGGGAAGAACACCAGUAGCGAAGGCGACUGUCUGGUGCGGUAUUGACGCUGAGAUGCGAAAGCGUGGGGAGCAAACA